AGUGAGUGAGUGAGUGAGGGAGGGAGCGAGAGAGCGAGCGCUAGGGAGGGAGCGAGGGAGGCAGCACGCCGAGGGGAAGGGGCGGAAGUGGAUCCGGCUCUGGCGGAGCUCGAUGCGGCGGCCUCCUCGGAUUUCUCCAAGACGUCCUCCUCCUCCACUACCGACGCGCUCAGCUCCGUCGUCACCGCCGUGGUGCGCACGCCGCCCAAGGACUUCCGCGUCAUCAGGAAGGAGUGGGGGCCCAUCCGAAUCUAGACCGCCUUCCGCGGCUUCCUGGCCAUGAGGGCGCUACGAGGGAUCGUGCGGCUGCAGGCGCUGGUGCGCGGCCGUCGUACGCAGCUGGCCGUCACAUUCAAGUGCAUGCAAGCGCUCGUCAGGGUGCAAGCGUGAGCGAGGUACCCUUAGUUAUUGUUUCUUGUGUCUCCGCCACCUGCGCUGAGGACAAGUCCGACGGCGUUCAGUCCUCCUUCACCAUGGUCUCCCUCAAGUCUGCCAUCUUCUAGCUUGUUGAUGAGUUAAUCAUGCUUGGAGUUCGAAUUGGUGGUGGCUUGAACAAUUUGCCUGGACUUGACCAUGAAGAGUUGUCAGAAGUAUCUAUCAAGUCGUGUCCUGCAGAGGAAUUUUUUUCUCUUCAUGCUCUUGAAGUCCAACAAUUAUGGAAAUAAGGACGACAAUGGCUUGUUGGAAUUCGUUGAAGAAGCUCUUGCUUUGCUCCGUUCGGCAACUCUUGCUCUGAUGAGGUCCCUUCAAGAGGCUAUUGCUGCAGAAUAACCUAGAAGUGAAUAUUUGUCAUUAGCUUUAAAUGGAGAGAAGUUGAACGAGGAGCUUGUGGUUGUGAUUACACUUGUAGAGCUUGUGGCUGUGAUUACCAUUGUAUCCAAGUUAUAUGAUGUAAUAGACUUAUUUUGGUUGUUAUUUGGAGUAUUAUGUGUGCUUUCUGUC